AGAGUUUGAUCAUGGCUCAGAGCGAACGCUGGCGGCGUGCUUAACACAUGCAAGUCGAACGAGUGUAGCAAUACAUUCGUGGCGAACGGGUGCGUAACACGUGGAUAACCUUCCUUGAAGUGGGGAAUAACCCAGUGAAAAUUGGGAUAAUACCGCAUAACAUGACGAUGCCACAUGGUGUUGUCUUCAAAGGCGCAAGUCGCUACAAGAGGGAUCCGCGGCCGAUUAGCUAGUUGGUGAGGUAACGGCUCACCAAGGCAAUGAUCGGUAGCCGGUCUGAGAGGAUGGCCGGCCACACUGGAACUGAGACACGGUCCAGACUCCUACGGGAGGCAGCAGUGGGGAAUCUUGCACAAUGGGCGAAAGCCUGAUGCAGCAACGCCGCGUGGGGGAUGAAGCUUCUCGGAGUGUAAACCCCUUUCGACCCGGACGAAUGCCCGCAAGGGUUUGACGGUACGGGUAUAAGAAGCCCCGGCUAACUACGUGCCAGCAGCCGCGGUAAGACGUAGGGGGCCAGCGUUGCUCGGAAUUACUGGGCGUAAAGGGUCCGUAGGCGGUGCGGUAAGUUGGGAGUGAAAUCUCUGGGCUUAACUCAGAGGCUGCUUCCAAAACUACCGUGCUAGAGUGCGAGAGAGGCAAGUGGAAUUGCGGGUGUAGCGGUGAAAUGCGUAGAUAUCCGCAGGAACAUCCGAGGCGAAAGCGGCUUGCUGGAUCGCAACUGACGCUGAGGGACGAAAGCUAGGGGAGCAAACAGGAUUAGAUACCCUAGUAGUCC
rnacentral:rRNA from 1 species